UACAGAGGGUGCAAACGUUGUUCGGAAUCACUGGGCGUAAAGCGCGUGUAGGCGGGAAGCUAAGUCAGGUGUGAAAUCCCCAGGCUCAACCUGGGAACUGCACUUGAAACUGUCUUUCUUGAGUGUCGGAGAGGAAAGUGGAAUUCCUGGUGUAGAGGUGAAAUUCGUAGAUAUCAGGAGGAACACCGGUGGCGAAGGCGGCUUUCUGGACGACAACUGACGCUGAGACGCGAAAGCGUGGGGAGCAAACAGG
rnacentral:rRNA from 1 species